CCUCUUUUUCCCAAGCAGCUGUCUUCACAUUUCCAAAGCAUCUCACCCACUGUCCUCUCCUAAAUCCUCACUGCCUGUGGAGCCUCUCUCUCCCUCAGCUCUCAGGUUUUUAAAAUUGUUUAUCUAUUUUUAUGAGUUCUGAAUUUGGGAAUUGGGCGUUGAUUCAACUGUUUUUAAUCUAGGGUUUUAAUUUCUUUAGGCUUAUUGUGUAUUCAAACCUCAUAUGAUUACUUUUUUUUGUUCCUGUAUUGCACAAGUUCAUAAAUUAUUCCUUGUUUUUUCUUUCCCGGAAAAUACAUUGCUGCUUGAGCCUGUUAAUGAAUUCCAGCCAGUUUUCUCUGAGCCGUCAGUCAAUCUUUUGCCUUUUUUUUUUUUUUUUUUUUUACUUCUAAUUUGAAUGAAAUGCACGAAUUGAAUGGGUGGCAAGCGAUUCCAAGAUGAUUCUGAGCAAUGCAGGCAACAAGCUAUCAGGCAUGAUGAAUCAAAACCUGGUGGUGCUACCAAUACUAGCAUGAUCGAUAGGGGCGAGGAACAUAGCAUCUGAAAUGACAGCUGGUCAGAAAUUCAGGUUAUUUGUUUAUGGGAAAAUGCUAUUCAAGUAAAAUUUUUUACCCAAAAGGAAACAGGUCUUCUUAGUUCAAAACACAUCAAUAUCAGGACAGGCCACCCGAUGACUUUUCAUUCUAUGCAUUUUGACACACAUCCAAAUACUGUGCCAAGUUUAUGUGCCUAAUCCCACUUAGGGGAGCUUGUGCUUAUCAGAACCCAAUUGGGAGAGGAGAGUAGGUUUGAGGUUUGUACACAAGCUAUGCCCUCCGGAUUUGGAUUGGGAUGCCAGUUUUGUCACGUUAAAGUGAAUAACUUACUGCCUAGAGCCUGGCAGACAGAAUAGAAAAAGCAGAGAUCAUCGGGGGGGGCAGAGAUCAACAGGGGGCAAACUUUCCUUAGGAACCUUAUAAUGUGGGGAAUGGACCCUUUCCUAUGUUGGUUCACUUGAUUUUUUGUUUUUCAUAAUGUGAUAUGGAAAUAAAUGUAUGUCAUAGAAUGGACCUUUUUCCUUGUUGAUUCUUCA